AUUGAACGCUAGCGGGAUGCUUUACACAUGCAAGUCGAACGAGCGGCGGACGGGUGAGAAAUGUGUGGGGACAGACCGAUAGAGGGGGGUAACAACUGGAAAAGGUAGCUAAUACCGCACACUAUCGGAGCACCCCUCUGUGAUGAUCUAGUAGGGGUGGGAAUGGCUCACCUAGGCGACGAUCCCUAGCUGGUCUGAGAGGAUGAUCAGCCACACUGGGACGGAGACACGGCCCAGACUCCUACGGAGGCAGCAGUGGGGAAUAUUGCACAAUGGGCGCAAGCCUGAUGCAGCCAUGCCGCGUGUAUGAAGAAGGCCCUAGGGUUGUAAAGUACUUUCAGUCAGGAGGCGUUACCGACAGAAGAAGCACAGGCUAACUCCGUGCCAGCAGCCGCGGUAAUAC
rnacentral:rRNA from 1 species